rnacentral:lncRNA from 1 species
AAUACUAACCAAAAACACCGCAACAAAUAAAUACUAACCACAGUAAUUAUAUAUUUUCCCUAGUCUACAAGAUUCUGCUUCAGCUCUUCUUUCAUGUCCGCCAAUAAUUCUACAAUUGAAGGGUUCGAAUGUUACCGAUACAUAAUACAAAAUUAAAAUAAUAUAUCAAAUAAGCAGCCCUAAAAAACCUACAAACCAUAGAAAAUAUAUAGAGAAGAAAAGACGAAUCUCGUGUGGAAUCCAAAACGUGAAAUAAAUAAAUUUCCUCUGCACCCCAACUCAACCCCAGUGGCCACUCCGUCUAAUAUAUUAACCCAAAAACCGAUUUCUCUCUCUCCUACUGUAAUAUCCCCAAGUCCGGUAUCAAACACCACAAAUCUGGUAUAUUUAUUCUAUAACUAUUGUGGAAGAUAUAAAUAUAAAUUGUUUAUACAUUAAACUUUACACACUAUCCCCAAGGUCGAGAACCUUCACUUAUUACUGAAUUUAAUAUUCUAUCUAACAUAUAAUGUUAUUAUCAUACAAAAUUGUUACAACCUUUAUCUGUAUUAUCAACCAAUGCUGGAACUGUCUUUAACCUUUCCUGUAUCCGACGCAUUCAUACUAAUCUGUAAUAUUUAUCAUGAUAUAGCAAGGGUGAGCAACAAGUUUGCCCAACAAGUAUAAGUUCAAUAAAUUAAGGAUAUAUCAUGAUGGAAAGAAUUGAACAAUACGUUGGCUAAAGUUCUACAAUAUAAUUGUGAACUGGCAUAAACAAAUUUUCAUAGCUGAACGAAUAAUGAACAUGAAUAACUAUAACUGAACAAAAUGGUAAUGAAGGUGAUGAUCAGCCUUUCAUACUUGAUGAAGACGUGCAAUAUGCACAGAGUGCUAUUCAACAAAUCAUAGACGUGAUAAUCAGCAAUGAUUAACCACAAGCAUACUUGAAUGAAACAACUCAAGGUUGAGUUAGAGAAAACUUGCCUUUAUCAUCGACUACUGCUACACAAUUUAUUUAGCUUCGUCUGAAGACCUAAUAUAGAUUAUACCGAUCUCUAAAUAUUAGAAUAAUAUUAUCACAGUAUAAUAAUAUUAUAUAUACUUACAAAAUAACCUAAACACAUAACAGAUAACCCUAUCAGUCUACCAACUACCUAAGACUCGGUAUCAAGUCAAACUAUUUCUGUUUGAGUUGAAUCCGACACAAUUUCGGCAUCCCAACGGCCUAGUCGGAUAAUUAUCGAGCCUAAUAUCCAUAAGACUCUAUCUAAACGCAACACAAUUAUCUUAGAUAAUUUAUUAAUCCGCCAAAAUAAUUUUUAAAGGCUCAUAAUAAUUUUCAAGUAAUUAUUAUCAUUUAUCAUGAUUUUUUUAUCAUUAAUAUCAUAUUUAUAUGAUUUAAU